GAUGAACGCUGGCGGCGUGCCUAAUACAUGCAAGUCGAGCGAACAGACGAGGAGCUUGCUCCUCUGACGUUAGCGGCGGACGGGUGAGUAACACGUGGAUAACCUACCUAUAAGACUGGGAUAACUUCGGGAAACCGGAGCUAAUACCGGAUAAUAUAUUGAACCGCAUGGUUCAAUAGUGAAAGACGGUUUUGCUGUCACUUAUAGAUGGAUCCGCGCCGCAUUAGCUAGUUGGUAAGGUAACGGCUUACCAAGGCGACGAUGCGUAGCCGACCUGAGAGGUGGUUCGGCCACACUGGAACUGAGACACGGUCCAGACUCCUACGGGAGGCAGCAGUAGGAAAUCUGCCGCAAUGGGCGAAAGCUUGACGGAGCAACGCCGCGUGAGUGAUGAAGGUCUUCGGUUCGUAAAACUCUGUUAUUAGGGAAGAACAAAUGUGUAAGUAACUAUGCACGUCUUGACGGAACCUAAGCAGAAAGCCACGGCUAACUACGU
rnacentral:rRNA from 1 species